AUUGAACGCUGGCGGCAUGCUUUACACAUGCAAGUCGAACGGUAACAGGCCGCAAGGUGCUGACGAGUGGCGAACGGGUGAGUAAUGCAUCGGAACGUGCCCAGUCGUGGGGGAUAACGCAGCGAAAGCUGCGCUAAUACCGCAUACGAUCUAUGGAUGAAAGCGGGGGACCGUAAGGCCUCGCGCGAUUGGAGCGGCCGAUGUCAGAUUAGGUAGUUGGUGGGGUAAAGGCUCACCAAGCCAACGAUCUGUAGCUGGUCUGAGAGGACGACCAGCCACACUGGGACUGAGACACGGCCCAGACUCCUACGGGAGGCAGCAGUGGGGAAUUUUGGACAAUGGGCGCAAGCCUGAUCCAGCAAUGCCGCGUGCAGGAAGAAGGCCUUCGGGUUGUAAACUGCUUUUGUACGGAACGAAAAGGCUCUGGUUAAUACCUGGGGCUCAUGACGGUACCGUAAGAAUAAGCACCGGCUAACUACGUGCCAGCCGCCGCAGUAAUAC
rnacentral:rRNA from 1 species